AUACUGGCUUAGCAGUACGUAUUCUAAAAUUGGAAUGAUACAGAGAAGAUCAGCGUAGCCCCUGUGUGAGGAUGACACACAAAUUUGUGAAGCAUUCCAUGAAAAA
rnacentral:snRNA from 1 species